rnacentral:rRNA from 1 species
CGUUCGGCRCCUUGAGAGAAAUCAAAGUUUUURGGUUCCGGGGGGAGUAUGGUCGCAAGGCUGAAACUUAAAGGAAUUGACGGAAGGGCACCACCAGGRGUGGAGCCUGCGGCUUAAUUUGACUCAACACRGGGAWACUCACCAGGUCCAGACAUAGUAAGGAUUGACAGAUUGAGAGCUCUUUCUUGAUUCUAUGGGUGGUGGUGCAUGGCCGUYCUUAGUUGGUGGAGUGAUUUGUCUGGUUAAUUCCRUUAACGAACGAGACCUUAACCUGCUAAAUAGUUAGGCCAACUUUUUUGUUGGUCGUCAACUUCUUAGAGGGACUAUUGACGUUUAGUCMAUGGAAGUUUGAGGCAAUAACAGGUCUGUGAUGCCCUUAGAUGUUCUGG